rnacentral:rRNA from 1 species
UAAGGAGUAUUGGUCAAUGGACGCAAGUCUGAACCAGCCAUGCCGCGUGGUGGAUGAAGGUCCUCUGGAUUGUAAACUUCUUUUAUCUGGGACGAAACACUUCUUUUCUACGAUGCCUGACGGUACCAGAUGAAUAAGCACCGGCUAACUCCGUGCCAGCAGCCGCGGUAAUACGGAGGGUGCAAGCGUUAUCCGGAUUCACUGGGUUUAAAGGGUGCCUAGGUGGGUAUGUAAGUCAGUGGUGAAAUCCCCGAGCUUAACUUGGGAACGGCCAUUGAUACUAUAUAUCUCGAAUACCGUAGAGGUAAGCGGAGUAUGUCCUGUAGCGGUGAAAUGCUUCGAUAUGACAUGGGACACCAAUUGCGAAGGCAGCUUACUAUGCGGUCAUUGACACUG